UGGGGAAUAUUGCACAAUGGGCGAAAGCCUGAUGCAGCAACGCCGCGUGAGUGAUGAAGGCCUUCGGGUUGUAAAGCUCUGUCUUUUGGGACGAUAAUGACGGUACCAAAGGAGGAAGCCACGGCUAACUACGUGCCAGCAGCCGCGGUAAUAUGUAGGUGGCAAGCGUUGUCCGGAUUUACUGGGCGUAAAGGAUGCGUAGGCGGAUUUUUAAGUGAGAUGUGAAAACCCUAAGCUUAACUUGGGGACUGCAUUUCAUACUGGAAAUCUAGAGUGCGGGAGAGGAGAAUGGAAUUCCUAGUGUAGCGGUGAAAUGCGUAGAGAUUAGGAAGAACACCAGUGGCGAAGGCGAUUCUCUGGACCGUAACUGACGCUGAGGCAUGAAAGCGUGGGUAGCAAACAGGAUUAGAUACCCUGGUAGUCCACGCCGUAAACGAUGAGUACUAGGUGUAGGAGGUAUCGACCCCUUCUGUGCCGCAGUUAACACAAUAAGUACUCCGCCUGGGAAGUACGAUCGCAAGAUUAAAACUCAAAUGAAUUGACGGGGUCAAGCUG
rnacentral:rRNA from 1 species